GGUACAACUGCUGUGAACAUGGGAUAGAGCCUUCUCAGUAGCUGCUCCCAGGCCUUGCCCUCCUUGCUAUGCUCCCCACAGUAGUGACAACACGGCAUCCAAACUCAGAAUAUACAGUGUCUUCCUGACCAGUUAUGAAUCACGCCUCAUGAUCCAUAACUGAUUUUUUAAAAAGUUAAAUUGAAAGAAUUGAUGGAUAUAUUCUUACCUCAGCGAGAAGUCUGAUGUAUUGAAGCACAGAGGACAGAGCUGUAAAAGAAGAAAAGAAGAAAAGUUGUAAAAGAAAAAGAAGAAGAGAAGGCAUUUAAUAUCAGACCCUGAUCCUAAAUAAAGACCCAC